UAUACUUUUCCUGCAUUUUUAAGAAAUUUAUAAAUAUUCGUGUUUAUAUAACACAAAAUAAUUGCGAAAAUUUUCCGGCAUAUUUGAAAAUCGUUAGAUUCAUGGACCCAUCACUGGCGGCAAGCGAGGAAACGGGUGAGACCGGCCGGUUCGUACAAGCACUCCUCACGCGACCGAACGCCCGUGUGCAGCUUUCUAAUUGUUCUUCCUGAUCGGUUCUUACUGGCGGAGAGCGCGGUUACGUAACAGGACGUCGUACCGGAGAAAAGUCAGGUAAUGUUUUCGCUCGAGCGGUUACGUGGCGUUGCGCGAGACGAUUACGGCGAGAAAAUCGCGUAAUCUUGGGAGAACCACGACCUUUGCGGAGAGAGAGAGAGAGAGAAAAAGAAGCUCAUGCACUACAAACCUUUGACUAUAUAAAUAUGGACUGCUAGUCCCCCCGAUUUUACUAUGUAAAAAACAUAUGCCCAGUGUCGCCGAGCUGAAGUUGGUUGAGGUAUCGAACUUCGAUUUUUAGGCUCCACCCCAGUCAGUAAAAAAAAUAUCAAAUAUCUGUCAAAAUGUAUUAAAUGUUAUGUUGAAAAUUGAGCCAUUGAAAGGGAGCCAAAAAAAAUCUCAAAAAGACGGAAUGAAAUUAAAAACAAACUCAGCACCUUUUCUUUACACGCGUAAACACGCUGAUUUCACAGGAGCCUUCCCUCUCCUCGCAGAAAAUUACUGACUGAGGUGGAGUCUACAUCUCCCAGCUUGGCGACACGUGUGAAGUUAUACUUAUAUACCUGCGAGAUUGACGCGGACUUUUUUAUUCUAUUUCCCUAAGAAAGGAACAAAGUUUCUUCGUGUGUUGCAAUUAUAAACUUCGAGCGAGAAAGAGAGAGAAAGACACGGGAAAAUGGGACUUUAUAAGUUCUAUCAUCUAUACGUCAGUCUUUUCAAUGCCAUUGACACCGACACUAUCGUGUCGCGCAUGCAUGCAAAAAAGUUUGAAUAAUACUGAAUAAUAUUCUUGUGAAUAGUACUCCUUCGUUGCAUAAUACGCCUUGAGGAGGUGCAACAGGUUACGCUAGCAUGCACUCCUAGUGCAAACACCUUAAAUUCUACGCAUCGCGUGUGAGGCUCGAAACGCGGAAUUAAUCUACGUAAAAAAAAUUAAAUCAUUGCAUCAAGAUAUUGCGGGACAUCAUGAGUAUCAUGUAGGUAUCAUAUUUGCAAACGAGGUUCAAAGAAGAGAGGCCAAAGGAAUGAGCGAAACGAGACGCGCAAAAUUGACGGCGUCGAACGCACGUAAGGCCAAGUUAUGUCAAGUUACUCGGCGCGUUUACUUUCUAACCGGCAUCGUUACGUGGACCUACGACAAAGUAUUACAACUGUAGUUGUAAGUGGUGACACUAUCGACGAUGAAAGAGGAUGUUUGCAGUCGUUGAGAUCUGUUAAGACGAGGAAGUGCGAGGAAGCUCGUAUUCUCAAUCGUCGAAUUAUCAGAGUUGAGGAAAUAUUCCGAGAGAAAAAAAAACUUCCGAGGAAAAAGAAGUUCGAGGAAGAAAGACGAGAAGCUCAUUACUGCAUUUGCAAAAACAGCAUAAACAUUCGAUUGAAUGGAGAAUAAUGCCAUUACUUAUUUCAACUACCUGUGUACACUAUAACUCGAAUAAUAAUGUAAAAUGUUGAUUGCGCAGCAAUAACGUGAGAAAUAUAAUUUUCAUUUAUUCGAGGCACCACUUAUACAAAUGACCAUUGGGAAUUACAAGGAAUUAUGAUUUCCAACUAAUAGCGUCUUGCAAUGCAAAUGAGGUGUGAGGCGACGAUGUUUGGUCGAUCCAUGAAAAUCUAUUCUAUAUUGAUUAGCGGGGUCAUCGCUCCACUGUACUCUAAUUAUUUGCUCGAUUACUGUUCCAAUUAGGAAUACUAUAUUUUCCUAUAUUAAAUAUGCAUGCGUGCGCGCGUGUGUGUGAUAUGCGAGCCACUUAUCUACGAAUUGUACUGUCGGAAACUACUGGCAUUGAAAAAAACUCUUGUAUGCGUGUGCGUAUGUGUGUUUUCAGCACACGUAUUUUCCAUAACUAAAUGCGUGACAAACUAGAUAAAAAUUUGUAUCAAUCAUAAAAUCGUAAAAAAAUAAAAGAUUGACAUUUAUACAUUUCA